GAAAUGAGGUUUCAUGGAGCUGAGCUGAGUAAACUAUCAAGAUCACAGGAAAGUGAAUACGAAGAUUUAAACUUAGGUUCAAGAGGUUAAUAAAGUGAAAACUCAGGAUGCUUAUGCGAUGUGAAGUUCUGUUAGCAUUUUGCACUAACUCAGAUAAUUAUACGUCUUAUAACUAAUGUUAGAGAGGCCUGACUACUUUUUGGAUGGGUAGCAGAGUCAAGAACAGAAGAGUGCGGACUGGAUUAAGAGUGUCUACUGGCCGGGCAAUGGUGGCACACACCUUUAAUCCCAGCACUUGGAAGGCAGAGGCAGGAUUUCUGAGUUCGAGGCCAGCCUGGUCUACAGAGUGAGUUCCAGGACAGCCAGGGCUACACAGAGAAACCCUGUCUCAAAAAAAUUAAGAGUGUGUACUGCUCUUGUUGAAUAGAGUUCAGUUCCCAGCAGUCAUGUCAGAUGGCUACAGUUCUAGAAACUAUCACCUUUUUGCUCUUUGAGGACUUACACACAACUGCACACAUACACAAAAAUAACAAAAAAAUAAAAUUUUGAAACAAAAUAAGUACCGUUGGGCCUGGUAGAAAUGCCUGAAAUCUCACCAUAUGAGAGACUGAGGCAGGAAACUCUAAUCUGCCCUGGGCUAUAUAACUCCAGGACAACCUGGAUUAAGAGUGCCCUCUACCCCCAAUUAACAGAUAACAUAUAGCAAGGCAAGCUAAGAUAACUCUCACAUCCCGGAUCUCCAUAUUUUCCUGAUGCAUACAUUAGGCCAACACUCAGUCUGAGUGGCUCCUUUGCACACUUCCCAGGCAUUCGGUUAUUUAAUCUUUGCCCUUGACAGCUAAGAUUCCUAUUUAACAGGUAAGGGAAAUAGGAGCCUUACAUUUUAAUUAACUUGCCCAGAGUACGUGGUGGGACUGAGAUUCAAAGACAGUGAAUACUAUUCUAGAGCCUGAGUUAACCUACAAGGUGCACACAGAAGACAUCUAAAGGUGCAGAGUGCCUCCGCUUUUUGCCCUGAAUUAAACUAGUGAAACUCCCUUGUAGAAGAGUUGUAUUAUUAAGAAUCACUGGUGUAGUGUAGCCUGCGCACUUCCUUCCCUAGAAGAGUCUUGACCCUGGUCGCCCACUGUAGGUAAUGUCUCUAAUUGGUCAGUUAUUGUCAUGUGAUUGGCCCGCCCUCUUUGCCAACAUGGCGGCUCCCAGGCCCUAAUGCGAGAAGCAUGCACCGUGACUCGUUGGAUCCUGCGGGUUGAGGCGCCCGCGGAUGUCCCUCGCGAGGACGAUCCUGUGGCUAAGCCGUCCUCUCCGUCCGGCCCACAGCCUCUGUAGAGCUCAGUUCAUGGAACGGAAGGCCCAGAAGCCUCCCUCUCCACCAGCGAUGGAGAACGGCACCCGGUCCUGGGAAGAGCGCCCACCCGCGGACCCGGUUGCGACUGUCACUGAGGGCGCCGCCAAAAUCGUCUUUCCCAGUGCUAACGAGGUUUUCUAUAACCCGGUGCAGGAAUUCAACCGGGACCUGACGUGUGCUGUGAUCACAGAGUUUGCUCGAAUUCAUCUUGGGGCCAAGGGAAUCCAGAUCAAGGUUCCAGGAGAGAAGGACUCAGAGAAAAUAGCUGUGGACUUGUCUGAUCAAGAAGAGGAAACAGCUGGAAAGAAUGAAAAUCUGGCCCCAGGGGACUGGCCACGGACUGCUGCAGUGGGUGAGAUCUGUGAGGAAGGUCUACGAGUGCUGGAAGGCCUGGCAGCUUCCGGUCUGCGCUCCAUCCGUUUUGCCCUGGAGGUUCCUGGCCUCCAGUCUGUGGUUGCCAAUGAUGCCUCUGCCCGGGCUGUAGAGCUUAUGCACAGAAAUGUGGAGCUCAAUGGUGUGGCACAUCUUGUUCAGCCCAACCAGGCAGAUGCCCGGAUGCUGAUGUACCAACACCAAAAGGCACCUGAGCGAUUUGAUGUCAUUGACCUGGACCCCUAUGGCAGCCCCGCCCCCUUCCUGGAUGCAGCAGUGCAGGCUGUGAGUGAUGGAGGACUUCUGUGUGUCACCUGCACAGACAUGGCAGUCCUGGCGGGGAACAGCGGAGAGACAUGCUACAGCAAGUAUGGGGCCAUGGCCCUCAAGAGCCGAGCCUGCCAUGAAAUGGCCCUGCGGAUUGUGCUGCACAGCCUGGACCUGCACGCCAACUGCUACCAGCGCUAUAUCGUGCCGCUGCUCAGCAUCAGUGCUGACUUCUAUAUCCGGGUCUUUGUACGUGUUUUCACAGGCCAGGCCAAGGUUAAGUCCUCAGCCAGCAAACAGGCCCUGGUGUUCCAGUGUGUGGGUUGUGGAGCCUUCUACCUGCAACGCCUUGGCAAAGCAUCAGGAGACCCUGGUGGCAGGAUCAAGUUCUCUGCAGCCUGUGGUCCUCCAGUAACUCCCGAGUGUGAGCACUGUGGACAGAGACACCAGGUGGGCCCAGCUUGGGGGCCCCAUGUGGGCAGAGCCCAUCCAUGACCUGGACUUUGUGGGCCGAGUUCUUGACGCAGUGACCACGAAUCCUGGCCGCUUCCACACUUCCAUGAGGAUCCAAGGCGUCCUCAGUGUUGUUACUGAGGAACUUCCUGAUGUCCCUCUCUACUACACACUGGACCAACUGAGCAGCACUAUCCACUGCAACACACCCCGCCUUCUGCAGCUUCGGUCAGCUCUCCUUCAUGCUGGUUUCCGAGUCUCUCUCUCCCAUGCUUGUAAGAAUGCAGUGAAGACAGAUGCUCCCCCUGAGGCCCUCUGGGACAUCAUGCGUUGCUGGGAAAAGGAAUGUCCAGUGAAACGGGAGCGGCUGUCUGAAAGCAGUCCAGCAUUCCGAAUUCUUGCUGUGGAGCCCAGCUCCACUGGAGCAGAUCCAGAAACUCACUAGGAAAUUCAAGUGGUUACUGAAUAAAUGAAAGAACUCUGAGCCUGGCAGACCUGUGGUGUUGCCUCAGGGUGGGCAGGUUCUGGGGCUGAGUUCACCCUGCAUGGCCACUGCCUCCAGCCUCCACCCAUUUGUCCAGGCUGAAGGCCAACUUCAACAUCCGGGAAGACGCCAACCCCAGCUCCCGCCAGCGAGGACUUAAGCGCUUCCAGGCCAAUCCAGAAGCCAACUGGGGUCCCCGGCCCCGUGCCCGGCCAGGGGGCAAGGCAGCAAGUGAAGAUCUAGCAGGGAGGCGGAGGCUGCUACAGAAUAAGAGGAAGGAGCCAGCUGAGGACCCGGCCCAGCGUGCAGCUCGCCUUAAGACAUUUCCUUGCAAACGAUUCAAAGAGGGUACCUGUCAACUAGGGGACCAGUGCUGUUAUUCACACAGUCCUGCAGCUCCUGUGGCCUCUGGUGAUAUCCCCAUCGAAGAAUGUCCAGAGACUACCACCAAGAUCUCCCCUGGACCAAAGGCUGCUGCUGGGGGUAUUCCUGGGCC